GAGUUUGAUCCUGGCUCAGGAUGAACGCUGGCGGCGUGCUUAACACAUGCAAGUCGAACGGGAAAUAUUUCAUUGAGACUUCGGUGGAUUUGAUCUAUUUCUAGUGGCGGACGGGUGAGUAACGCGUGGGUAACCUGCCUUAUACAGGGGGAUAACAGUUAGAAAUGACUGCUAAUACCGCAUAAGCGCACAGGACCGCAUGGUCCGGUGUGAAAAACUCCGGUGGUAUGAGAUGGACCCGCGUUGGAUUAGCUUGUUGGCAGGGUAACGGCCUACCAAGGCGACGAUCCAUAGCCGGCCUGAGAGGGUGAACGGCCACAUUGGGACUGAGACACGGCCCAGACUCCUACGGGAGGCAGCAGUGGGGAAUAUUGCACAAUGGGGGAAACCCUGAUGCAGCGACGCCGCGUGGAGGAAGAAGGUCUUCGGAUUGUAAACUCCUGUUGUUGAGGAAGAUAAUGACGGUACUCAACAAGGAAGUGACGGCUAACUACGUGCCAGCAGCCGCGGUAAUAC
rnacentral:rRNA from 1 species